rnacentral:rRNA from 1 species
AGCAGCCGCGGUAAUUCCAGCUCCAAUAGCGUAUAUUAAAGUUGUUGCAGUUAAAAAGCUCGUAGUUGAAUUUCGGGGCCAGUAGGUCGGUCGUGCCACUGGUAUGAACUGGUCUCACUGGUCCCUCCCUCUUGAAGAACCGUGAUGUCAUUAAUUUGGUGUUGCGGGGAAACAGGACUGUUACUUUGAAAAAUUAGAGUGCUUAAAGCAGGCUUACGCUUGAAUACAUUAGCAUGGAAUAACGAAAUAGGACGAUCGAUUCUAUUUUGUUGGUUUCUAGGGUCGACGUAAUGAUUAAUAGGGAUAGUUGGGGGCAUUAGUAUUCAAUUGUCAGAGGUGAAAUUCUUGGAUUUAUUGAAGACUAACUACUGCGAAAGCAUUUGCCAAGGAUGUUUUCAUUAAUCAAGAACGAAAGUUAGGGGAUCGAAGACGAUCAGAUACCGUCGUAGU